UACGUAGGGUGCAAGCGUUGUCCGGAAUUAUUGGGCGUAAAGAGCUCGUAGGCGGUUUGUUGCGUCGGCUGUGAAAUCCCGAGGCUCAACCUCGGGUCUGCAGUCGAUACGAGCAAACUAGAGUGUUGCAGGGGAGACUGGAAUUCCUGGUGUAGCGGUGAAAUGCGCAGAUAUCUGGAGGAACACCGGUGGCGAAGGCGGCAUCCCUGGGACCAACACUGACGCUGAGGAGCGAAAGCCAGGGGGAGCAA
rnacentral:rRNA from 1 species